UACGUAGGGUGCGAGCGUUAUUCGGAAUUACUGGGCGUAAAGCGUGCGCAGGCGGUUUUGUAAGGCAGAUGUGAAAUCCCCGGGCUCAACCUGGGAAUGGCAUUUGGGACUGCAAGGCUCGAGUGCGGCAGAGGAGACUGGAAUUCCUGGUGUAGCAGUGAAAUGCGUAGAUAUCAGGAGGAAUACCGAUGGCGAAGGCAGGUCUCUGGGCUGACACUGACGCUCAUGCACGAAAGCGUGGGGAGCAAACAGG
rnacentral:rRNA from 1 species